GAUGAACGCUGGCGGCGUGCCUAAUACAUGCAAGUCGAGCGAACAGACGAGGAGCUUGCUCCUCUGACGUUAGCGGCGGACGGGUGAGUAACACGUGGAUAACCUACCUAUAAGACUGGGAUAACUUCGGGAAACCGGAGCUAAUACCGGAUAAUAUAUUGAACCGCAUGGUUCAAUAGUGAAAGACGGUUUUGCUGUCACUUAUAGAUGGAUCCGCGCCGCAUUAGCUAGUUGGUAAGGUAACGGCUUACCAAGGCGACGAUGCGUAGCCGACCUGAGAGGGUGAUCGGCCACACUGGAACUGAGACACGGUCCAGACUCCUACGGGAGGCAGGAGUAGGGAAUCUUCCGCAAUGGGCGAAAGCUUGACGGAGCAACGCCGCGUGAGUGAUGAAGGUCUUCGGAUCGUAAAACUCUGUUAUUAGGGAAGAACAAAUGUGUAAGUAACUAUGCACGUCUUGACGGUACCUAAUCAGAAAGCCACGGCUAACUACGUG
rnacentral:rRNA from 1 species